rnacentral:rRNA from 1 species
UACGUAGGGGGCAAGCGUUGUCCGGAAUCAUUGGGCGUAAAGAGCGUGUAGGCGGUCCGGUAAGUCAGCUGUGAAAGUCAAGGGCUCAACCCUUGAAUGCCGGUUGAUACUGUCGGGCUAGAGUCCGGAAGAGGCGAGUGGAAUUCCCGGUGUAGCGGUGAAAUGCGCAGAUAUCGGGAGGAACACCAAUUGCGAAGGCAGCUGGCUACACGAAUAUUGACACUGAUGCACGAAAGCGUGGGGAUCAAACAGG